rnacentral:rRNA from 1 species
UACGUAGGAGGCAAGCGUUGUCCGGAAUCACUGGGCGUAAAGAGCGUGUAGGCGGUCUGCCAAGUCUGUUGUGAAAAGCGCCCUGGCUUAACUGGGCGAGGUCGACGGAAACUGGGCAAACUGGAGGCCGGUAGAGGAGGGUGGAAUUCCCGGUGUAGUGGUGAAAUGCGUAGAGAUCGGGAGGAACACCAGUGGCGAAGGCGACCACCUGACUGAUACUGACACUGAGGUGCGAAAGCGUGGGGAGCAAACAGG